GUGCCUUAAACUAAUGAGUAAGGAAAAUAUCAAAGCCUUGGUGACGCUUGGCUUUACAUAAAGCUUUUUAGCUACCAAGAAUUUUUGCAGGGGCACAGGUCGUCCUUGAGUGGCCAGCCUACUUUUGCUGGCUGCAAGAGUGAAGCGAUCUACCCC